rnacentral:rRNA from 1 species
AUACGUAGGGUGCGAGCGUUGUCCGGAAUUACUGGGUGUAAAGGGAGCGUAGGCGGGAGUGCAAGUCAGAUGUGAAAUACAUGGGCUCAACCCAUGGGCUGCAUUUGAAACUGCAUUUCUUGAGUGAAGUAGAGGUAAGCGGAAUUCCUGGUGUAGCGGUGAAAUGCGUAGAUAUCAGGAGGAACACCGGUGGCGAAGGCGGCUUACUGGGCUUUUACUGACGCUGAGGCUCGAAAGCGUGGGGAGCAAACAGGAUUAGAUACCCUGGUAGUCCACGCUGUAAACGAUGAUUACUAGGUGUGGGGGGACUGACCCCUUCCGUGCCGCAGUUAACACAAUAAGUAAUCCACCUGGGGAGUACGGCCGCAAGGUUGAAACUUAAAGGAAUUGACGGGG